UACGGGGGGAGCAAGCGUUGUUCGGAUUUACUGGGCGUAAAGGGCGCGUAGGCGGCGUAACAAGUCACUUGUGAAAUCUCCGGGCUUAACCCGGAGCGGCCAAGUGAUACUGUUGUGCUAGAGUUCGGUAGGGGAGUCUGGAAUUCCUGGUGUAGCGGUGAAAUGCGCAGAUAUCAGGAGGAACACCGGUGGCGAAGGCGGGACUCUGGGCCGAUACUGACGCUGAGGAGCGAAAGCGUGGGGAGCAAACAGG
rnacentral:rRNA from 1 species